GGGAGGCAGCAGUAGGGAAUCUUCCACAAUGGACGAAAGUCUGAUGGAGCAACGCCGCGUGAGUGAAGAAGGGUUUCGGCUCGUAAAACUCUGUUGUUAAAGAAGAACAUAUCUGAGAGUAACUGUUCAGGUAUUGACGGUAUUUAACCAGAAAGCCACGGCUAACUACGUGCCAGCAGCCGCGGUAAUACGUAGGUGGCAAGCGUUGUCCGGAUUUAUUGGGCGUAAAGCGAGCGCAGGCGGUUUUUUAAGUCUGAUGUGAAAGCCUUCGGCUCAACCGAAGAAGUGCAUCGGAAACUGGGAAACUUGAGUGCAGAAGAGGACAGUGGAACUCCAUGUGUAGCGGUGAAAUGCGUAGAUAUAUGGAAGAACACCAGUGGCGAAGGCGGCUGUCUGGUCUGUAACUGACGCUGA
rnacentral:rRNA from 1 species